rnacentral:tRNA from 1 species
CAGAAGAUAAUUUAAAAUAAAAUAUUAGCUUUGGGAGUUAAAAAUCGAUAAUUACAUCGUCCUCUGG